UACGGAGGGUGCGAGCGUUAUCCGGAUUUACUGGGUUUAAAGGGUGUGUAGGCGGAUAAUUAAGUCAGUGGUGAAAUCUUCAGGCUCAACCUGGAAACUGCCAUUGAUACUAUUUAUCUUGAAUACUGUGGAGGUGAGCGGAAUGUGUCAUGUAGCGGUGAAAUGCAUAGAGAUGACACAGAACACCGAUUGCGAAGGCAGCUCACUACGCAGUGAUUGACGCUGAGGCACGAAAGCGUGGGGAUCAAACAGG
rnacentral:rRNA from 1 species